rnacentral:lncRNA from 1 species
ACAACCUCUAUGGCAGCCUGUGGACACUCUCAUUCCUAAUAUGUUGCUCUCACAGACUGAAAAUUUUAUUUUAAAUCAUAAGUUUAUCAGAACACCUCUGUACCCACACACCAGAAUGCAUUCACCAAACUGGCAUGCCACUCUGUAAAGAAGACAGCAUCACCCGGACUUCCCACUGGAUAAAUGCUGCCUGUGCCUCUGGACCCUACCUGCCCUUGCGGGGUUAGAGGCUGGGGAGCAGAGGAAGCUUUCCCUCUCUGGAGUAACCAAGAUGCCCCAAGCAACACUGAUGCCACAGCGUUGUGGCCCACAGAGCAGUGCACAAAGAAUCAUUAUGAGCAUAUCCUGAUGUGUCUUACCUGUGUGUGCCUGUGUUUUCCUCUACUGAUCCAUAGCAUGGACUUCACAUGCCCUGUGCAUAUCAUGCAUCUAAUCUUCAUAUCUGCACAAGCAAUUAUUGCAGACUUUCCAUAGGGGUUUUUGUCUUUUAAUGCUAAAAUGGAUGGACACAAAAUUACUGAUUUGGAGAUGUUUAUUCAAAUAAUUACUUUGAAUAUUUAUUCUUAGAUUUCUUUCUUUUAUCACUAUAGCUACUACCUUCACAUUUUCCUCUAAAAUUUUUUCACAUAUGUUUUUUGGUUUACGGGGAUUGUUGUUGUUGUUGUUGUUGUUGUUGCUGCUGCUGCUGCUACUGCUGCUGUUUUGGACAUGGUUUUGUUAUAUAAAUCAAGAGCAGCCUGAAAGUCAUGACCACCAUACCUAAAUAUUAACCUUUUGUUACUCUAACUGUGCCAAACUACUGCACUUUCACUAAACUUUUAAUAAAGUCUAUGAUGUAGGAGCUUAA